AUUACAGUAUGUCAUAACGUUAUAAAUAUUAGGCAGGGUUUUCCCCAGGAGCGGGGAGGAGUCUGUUUCUACGGACGUUGUGUGCGACUCCAAGGACUGUGUAUCUAAAAACAAGAAUUAGUUAUUGAGAUUUAUUUUUUUAAUUGUUUACAUGGCAUAUGGAAUUCAGAAUGAUUAGAAGAACAGACUGAGCUGGAAAUGAAACUCCUAAUCUUGUUUGAGUUUUUCAGAAAAAGGUUGUCCAACUUAGAGCCCUUAUACUCCUAUUCCUGAAAUUUCAAUAGGCUAAAUUUAGAAAAUUCUAAUGUGUUUGGACUCGUUUUACUAUUUUAAAAUGUGAAAUAAUCUUAAGUUCUUUUUAUUCAAACCUAUUUCAGGUUUAAAAAAGAUGUUUUCAACCUAUGGCGAGGCUUUUUAACUUUUUUGUUAAUAUUUUAAAUCAAACUAAUACGAAAUAUAUUCAAGAUAAUUACUGUUGAAAAAGGGGAAAAGGACGUUUAUAUGACAGGGUAUACUUUUUACGUUAAAUACUUUGGGAUGUGCAAAGAAAAAAAAAUAUGCACAAACUUUUUACACCUACAGAUUAUUGUUAGAGGCUGCAUUAUGUAUUAAAGGAAAGUAAUAUGUUUAAUAAAGAGCAUGUGUUACAAUUUUUAGGCCCUCUAGUUUUCUGAUUCUGUUCUAUUGAAAUUUCUAUUUCUAAAAUGAGAUAGAUAUAGCUUUGAGUAUAUAAUGUGGAGUGUGGAAUAUGGUAUGUUUCUCAAGAUUAAUUUUAACAAACAGAUUUUUCUCAGACAUAAAGUACCAUUAGUAAUAAUAUUUUUCAAUGGAUAAGCACAUUCAUGCACAUCGAGACUCAUAUAUACUGUUGAUUGUACAGAUUUAUACAAAGCAACUUCUGCCUAAUUCAUUAUAAUUUUAAUAUCUAUGAAAAUAAACAGUAUUAUAUAUCAAGAAAAUGUUAGUUUUAUAUUAUAGAUGAAAUAUAAUUUUAAUGUAAAGAAUGCUGCUGAUAACCUGCCACAAAAAGGUAUUGGCUUUGAGUUAUUUUUCCAGUAAUAAUCAUAUUGUUAUCUGCCUACCAGUGAUCAACAGCUUGAAAUUCUGAUACAAAUCCUCAGAUUGUUACUGUUUGUGGGGUUUUUUUUUUCUUCAUUUUGUCCUGCUUUGUUUUAGUAGUUGGGCAAUCUAAGACAGUAGAAUCAUGACACUGACCUAAUUUGUACAUUGAAGAAAAAUGAUUCUGCCUGCUUGGGCACAUAUAAUAUGUGUUUCCAUAUUAAUUUAUGGGAAAAUGUUAUAAUAAUAUCGUACUUUGUCCUUAAUGCAUUUUUUCAAUUCCAGGCACUUUGCAAAUAAAUGCAUUAUUUAUUGUAUUUUGACCACCACUGCCUCCACUAUAAAAAGAGAGAAUUACUGAAGUUAAUUGCUUAUCUAGGAUUAAGGAUUAAGGUAAUGUUGUCUCCAUCCACUAGAAUGUAAGCUCCAAAAAAUAAGGAACCAUGCAUGUCCUGUUUGCUAUUAGAGACCUAGCACCCAGAACCAAGCAUGCCAUAAAAUAAUACUUCGUAUAUAUUGGUGAAUUGAAGAAGUUGUUGCUGGAAACAAGAAGCAACCACGUAUAGUCAAAAUAAUUUCAAGGUUUAAUGUUUGACCAAGAUAAUAAGAACACUUGUAGUAUUGGACCAAAAUAAAAUUUUCGGGAGUUCAUCCUUCCAACCACCAUCCUUCCAACCUGCCUUGAUGGUCUCCUUGGGGCUUCAUGCCAAGAGUUGUGGUUGGGACUUCUGAACAUGUCUGUUUUCCAAUGUAAUAUUUUAAACUUCUUCAACCCCAAAGGAGAAAGUAACCCCAAGUCCUUUUAAAAGGUCUAUACAUUUUAUUUGGGAAGAGGAAGAGAAUUUCCAUGCCAUGAUUGACCUUGUCAUCAAGAUACUUUCUUUCCUCUACAGUGCCAGAACCUUCACUGUCAGCAUGGAGACGAUGGGAAUUGUGGACUUUCGAAACUGGAGAGGCAGUUGAAGGCAGAACUGGCCCUGAAGCAGAAUCUCAGGAAUUGGAUUCUUUCCAGUCUGAGCUGGAGAUUCUCAGCAAGACAUGUACUUCUCUGAGCCCCAGCUUCCUUUUAUGUUAAAUAAGAGUAAUACCUUAUAGGUUCAAAAGCAUAUCAGUGUACUUUGUAAAGUGAUAUGUUAAUUGAUGCUAUUAUUCAUUUAAAAGUAAAGGCAACAAAUAAAUAAGAGUAGGAAUUUAAAGAAUCAAACUUCGGAGGCCCUGGCCCAUAAAUCCUUGUCCUCAUCUGAGUUUUCCACCUUUCUGUUGUUAAAUUCCGUUACAUUCUUGCUCCAAAACCAAAAAUGUUUGAAAUAAUAUAAAUUGCCUGUUGGGUUUUUAAAGAGCUCUGCAAAUAUCCUGAAUUCAGUAGUCAUUCACAAUUAGAAUGUUUUAAUGAGAAGUUACGACAACUACACUGAGAGCAUAGGAGUUUUAUUAAGGAAGAACAGAGCAAUCAUUAGGGAAUAUGACAUUUUCAAGGAAAUGGAACAGGCCCAAAUGGAGGGAAGCACUGGGACCUUGGAGAAUCACCAGCAGGAGAGAGAAACAGGGAGAGAAGGGUGGCGAUAACAAGACAGAAGUCACAUCUUCUAGAAUUUUCCUCUUUAUGGAGGAAAUGGGGGAAAGCGCUCUUUAUUCCUCUGUCCUCAGUAAUGCUUCUAGGACCCAGAAUGCAAGCAAGUGGUAUAUAUAUAAGAUCAAGCAGGUUUUUGUGCACUUGCCUAGGAACUCAACCAUCACAGUGUUUCUGAAAGAAAAAUGUAUUCCAACUUCCAAAGAGCCAACCCUCAAAUGCAUUUUUGGAAUGCAAUCUGUUUGAAAGUGAAAUAACCAGGCAGCCUGGAUGAGUUCUCUUUUGAAAGAGUUUGCAGUGAGAAACAUAUCAGCUUCUGUGAAAAACUGUUUUCUAAUGGGGGCUGAGUCUUUUGUAGCUAUCUUAUAUACUUUCUGGAAGGAAUAUAUAAAUGAGGUGAGACAUUAAAACAUUUAGGUAGAUUUCAAGAUUUUUAAGACAGCCAUAGAAUAGUUUUGCCCUAUUCAGAUAUCUUGGAGAUCUUUUAUUGUUUCCCCCCAUCCCCAUGAAAUCACCUAUUUACUUUAGGAUAUUACAGGGCUUCCUUAAAUAUAUCCUAAGAAUCAUGUCAUUAUAAUAAAUCAUAGCAAUGUGAAAAAAAAAACUCUAUAAAACAUGCAAUACUGUAUAGCCAUGCCCAUGGUUUGCUUAUCAGUCUUCUCCGGAGUAUGUAGCAUCACUUAUAAUUUAAAAAUUAAAGCAGUUUGGGGUGAGAUAAUUUCCAAAGUUCAACAAGUACUUGAACUUUUUUCAAUCAGGAUAGUUAUAACUUAGAAUUUCUUCUACAGUAAUUUUACUGAGAUAAAUGAUAUGAAUAAUGAAUUAUUCAUUACUGAAUUAUUCCAGCCUACUCAUUCCUUUUACACAUUAGCUUAUGACUGCAAUCCUAGUAAAAUUUAUGUUCAAGAAAAGAGCUAACUUAUUUUUUCUUUCUAAGGGUUAGUCACCCAUGAGGAGGGUCCAAACCAGGACACCCGUCUCUGGAAAAAAGCUAAACUAGACGAGGUAUCAGGACAAUAGGCUUGAAACAGGACAAACAUGGGAAAUCAUGACUGUGGUCCCCGAUGCAUAGCUGUGUUUGGCUGCCGAAAUUUCCCUCUGAACACUGCAUGAUCUACAAUAGAGGGAAGUAGCAUGUCUUAGCGCAAAGAACUCACCCACCCAACUGACUCAGGUUCCCGGCUAGAGAAGAGACUCCUUGUCCAUCAGCUCUUUUAACCAGUAAACUAGAGAAAGGUUUCCUUUACCUCCUUCUUCCAACCUAUGAUCAAAUGUCACUAUUUUCACUUCCUAAUCCAUCCCCUUCUACCCACUCCACUAUCACUACCUUGGUUCAGGUCAUUGUUGUCCAUCACCUGUGUGAUGGCAGCAGCUUGCUAUUGGCUUUCCGUUCUACCUCUUGACCCCUCCCAUCCAUUUUUCACACUGAUGCCUAACUGAUCUUUCCCAAUUGAUCCUUCUUCUUUUAAAAAUCCUUUUUGGGUCCCCAUUAUCCCCAGAUCAAUCUUUACCCUGCCCUCAAAGACUCUGCAUAAUUGGAUUCUUCUCUCCAGCCUCCCCUCCUCAUAAGCCCCAUCCCCACCCUGCCAUCUCCACUGGCCACCCUGUGCUUCAGUGUAUUGAGUUACACCCAGUCCCUGGAGUGCACCUCCCAUUUAACAGUAUUUUGCGUGAACACUUCCUCCUCCAGGCUCUCUAUUCUAACUCACCCCAUCCCACUCCAGUGCCUGAAAUUCCAUCUUCGUUACUUAGAUCUCGGCUUAGCAAGGGCUUCCAGGAAGCCUGCCUCCCCGCAGGCCCCAAGUCCUUCCCAUGGACUACCAUCACGAUAAUCUCUACUUCUCUAUUCAGAGCCCUUAAUCAAACUGUGGGUUGUUUCUUUGUCUGAAAUCCCACUGGACUGUGACUGUGAGGGCCUGCACUUCAGGGUUUCCUGGCCUUGACUUUCCGGCAACCUAUUUUGCAUAACAGAUCAAGAAAAUCUGCUUGCUUUCAUGAAUGCCAGCCUGACUUUGUGCCCAUUCCUAAUCCCCAGGCUUUGGCCCCAAUUUUUAUUUUUUGCAGAUCACAGUAAAUAGCUAAUCAUACCAUCUUGUCUCAUUCAUUUUCUCCCAUGCUCUAAGGCUUCUCCUUAAGUGGAAAUGAAUCCUAUGUACCUUAUGAGUGCCUGAGGGCAAACAACAUAUGGAAAGGAAAAUUGGCUUAUUGCCAUAAAAAACACGAACUCAGCAGAUUUUUCUUUCCUCCUAAAUUUAACUCAAUGAAGAAAAGUGCUUACAUCACCAAAGCUUGAGAGACCCCCAGGGAAGUCACUGACAGCUGAUUUCUCAAUCUCUCCUCAAAGUACUGUAGAGGGCAAAUGCCUCCAGUUUUAGGAUCUGUGCAUUCAGGGAUUGGUGAAGGUGCUUAAAAAUCAUGAAAUACUAUAUAGAGACUCAUUAAGAUAUGUUUACGAUCACUGUAUUCUUAUCUCACAUUUAAGACUGUCCUUCAAACACAAAAAGAUGUAGAAGCAUAGCCUCCCCCUCAUUUGGGAGAAUACCUUGGAAACACAAUUUCAGCUAUGUGAAAAUAAACAAGGAUAAGCUUAGAGCAAACAGUAUGGUGAUCUUCUGGAAUUCACGUAAGAAGACAGCAGCAUCCAUCCCUGGCUAAACGCAUCCCCUUCCUCUAUGAGCUCUAUCUCAGGUCAUACCCCUUUUGAAAUCUCAUGGCCAGAUAGUAACAAACUGAAUAAAAUGUUGCUAUUUAGAACCAGUGUGCCCAGAGUUAAAGGGGAACAAAUUUUUUUUCCUUUCAAUCCUAAUUUCAAUAACUCCUUUUUUCUGUGGAUAUUUAUUUAAGGUUGGUUGAGAAGGGUGCUUUGAUGGUCCAAGCUUCUAUGAAUACAUUAUGGACUAGAUCUGUUAGAAUAAAUUGAGCAUAUUUUAGGAAACUGUUUAGGAUGCCAGUGUUCUUUCUGUAUUAUUUAUUUAUUUGUGAGAGAGUUUGAGAAAA